AUCACUUCUCAGCCUUUUGGCUAAGAUCAAAUGUAGUAUCUGUUCUUACCAGUUUAACAGUAUUACUUUUGUCAUAAAAUUGCAGAGAGCAGUAGUGGAUUUAGCCAAAACCAAA
rfam:Myotis lucifugus cont2.328, whole genome shotgun sequence.